AUACGGAGGGGGCUAGCGUUGUUCGGAUUUACUGGGCGUAAAGCGCACGUAGGCGGUUUAUCAAGUUAGGCGUGAAAGCCCCGGGCUCAACCCGGGAACUGCGCUUAUUACUGAUAGACUAGAGAGCGGGAGAGGGUAGCGGAAUUCCCAGUGUAGAGGUGAAAUUCGUAGAUAUUGGGAAGAACACCAGUUGCGAAGGCGGCUACCUGGACCGGUACUGACGCUGAGGUGCGAAAGCGUGGGGAGCAAACAGGAUUAGAAACCCCGGUAGUCC
rnacentral:rRNA from 1 species